rnacentral:rRNA from 1 species
AUUGAACGCUGGCGGCAGGCCUAACACAUGCAAGUCGAGCGGAUGACGGGAGCUUGCUCCUUGAUUCAGCGGCGGACGGGUGAGUAAUGCCUAGGAAUCUGCCUGGUAGUGGGGGACAACGUUUCGAAAGGAACGCUAAUACCGCAUACGUCCUACGGGAGAAAGCAGGGGACCUUCGGGCCUUGCGCUAUCAGAUGAGCCUAGGUCGGAUUAGCUUGUUGGUGAGGUAAUGGCUCACCAAGGCGACGAUCCGUAACUGGUCUGAGAGGAUGAUCAGUCACACUGGAACUGAGACACGGUCCAGACUCCUACGGGAGGCAGCAGUGGAGAAUAUUGGACAAGGGGCGAAAGCCUGAUCCAGCCAUGCCGCGUGUGUGAAGAAGGUCUUCGGAUUGUAAAGCACUUUAAGUUGGGAGGAAGGGUUGUAGAUUAAUACUCUGCAAUUUAGACGUUACCGACAGAAUAAGCACCGGCUAACUCUGUGCCAGCCGCCGCCGUAA